rnacentral:rRNA from 1 species
GAUCUUGGUUCAGGAUGAACGCUGGCGGCGUGCUUAACACAUGCAAGUCGAACGGAGUUUUAACGGAAGUUUCGGAUGGAAGUUUAGAAACUUAGUGGCGGACGGGUGAGUAACGCGUGGGUAACCUGCCUCAUACAGGGGGAUAACAGUUAGAAAUGACUGCUAACACCGCAUAAUAUAGCGAAACCGCAUGAUUUUGCUAUCAAAUAUUUAUAGGUAUGAGAUGGGCCCGCGUCUGAUUAGCUAGUUGGUGGGGUAAAAGCCUACCAAGGCGACGAUCAGUAGCCGGCUUGAGAGAGUGACCGGCCACAUUGGGACUGAGACACGGCCCAAACUCCUGCGGGAGGCAGCAGUGGGGAAUAUUGGACAAUGGGGGAAACCCUGAUCCAGCCGACGCCGCGUGAGUGAAGAAGUAUUUCGGUAUGUAAAGCUCUAUCAGCAGGGAAGAUAAUGACAGUACCUGACUAAGAAGCCCCGGCUAACUACGUGCCAGCCGCGGC